AUGCUAUCUCAUGAAAAUGAACGACCGAGGACUUUGCCAUUAUCACUUUUGGAAAACAUCACAGAUGAUUUCUCUGAACACCAUCGAAUUGGAAGCGGUGGAUUUGCGGUGAUUUAUAAGGGAAAGCUUGAGAAUAAGGUUGUUGCUGUGAAGAAACUGUCUCAAAUGCUUGAUAUUUCUGAUGAUAAAUUCAAAGAUGAGAUUGGUUGUUUGAUGAAGGUGAAGCACCAAAACAUUGUACGGUUUUUAGGAUAUUGUGCUAACAUACAAGGCGAAAUGGUAGGCUACAAUGGAGAUUUUGUCACGGCAGAUGUACGUCAAAGGCUACUCUGCUUCGAGUACGUACCGAAAGGAAAUCUUGAUGAGUAUAUGAAAGGUAGGAUCACACGGCGUGCAACU
rnacentral:rRNA from 1 species